GAUGAACGCUGGCGGUCUGCUUAACACAUGCAAGUCGAACAGAAUCCUUAGGGAUUUAGUGGCGGACGGGUGAGUAACACGUAAGAACCUGCCUCUAGGACGGGGACAACAGUUGGAAACGACUGCUAAACCCGGAUGAGCCGAAAGGUAAAAGAUUUAUCGCCUAGAGAGGGGCUUGCGUCUGAUUAGCUAGUUGGUAAGGUAAAGGCUUACCAAGGCGACGAUCAGUAGCUGGUCCGAGAGGAUGAUCAGCCACACUGGGACUGAGACACGGCCCAGACGCCUACGGGAGGCAGCAGUGGGGAAUUUUCCGCAAUGGGCGAAAGCCUGACGGAGCAAGACCGCGUGGGUGAGGAAGGUUCUUGGAGUGUCAACCCCUUUUCUCAGGGAAGAACGCAAUGCCGGUACCUGAGGAAAAAGCAUCGGCUAACUCCGUGCCAGCAGCCGCCGUAACAC
rnacentral:rRNA from 1 species